CUGACAGAUUGCUAUAACAUAUGAUGUGAUUAGCUGACAGGUAAAAUAACUAUCCAGACGAUGCAAGAUCUGUCAGGCGUCAAAAGAUUUAAGCACUGGAACGCGACCCAUGUGUUCACUAACAGAUCACGUGACUUGUAUCUGCUCUGUGAUUGGACGAUACAGACCGCGAGGCUCAUGGUUAGUGUAGGUUUUGGGACUCUCUGAAACAAGGAACUGAUGGUAAAAACACGAUUUCUCAACACAGAUGUUGAAACCGAUGGGCACUACAUCAACAAUCUCGGUAGAAAAUAGAACAUCUACGUUUCACAGUAAUAACGCUAAUAUUUUAUAUCAUCAAGGGAUUUGAGUAUUGAGAAUCCACUUUCAGAACCCCUCACUGCAGUCCUAUUGCUAUGCCCCGCCCCCCUUGGUUACGGUUGCAACCUCUGACAAUCGUUUCCAGGGAAACCCAUUUCCCCAUUCUAACUAGUGGAGAAAUAACAAUCUGUUAUUUUUGAACAACUAAUUUUACUGACUUGAGAGUCAUGAUUCGUUUUUCUUAGUGACUCGUAAAUUUUCGUCAUUCGUUUGACCUGUUGGCCGCAAUGAAUUGUACAGCAGGAUUAAUACGCGCUCCUCUGGUGACUCCGGUGACGUACUCCAACCAACAACUGUGUCAUAAAUAAUCACAGACAAAAUAGAUCAUGCUGCAGUCAGCACAUGAAAAAGGCAGACGGAAGGCGACCAUGUUUCAUCCAUCCUGGUGCAGGCAGACGGAAGGCGACCAUGUUUCAUCCAUACUGGUGCAGGCAGACGGAAGGCGACCAUGUUUCAUCCAUCCUACCAGCCCGGUAUGACCCCGAGGCUCUCCCAAGCCAAGCAUUACCCAGGAGAAGCAGCCUGCCUGUAUCCUCUGGAGCAUUACCCUGGAGAAGCAGGACUUUUGCUGGACCCCAGGAAGAGUAGCUGCUGCCUUGGCAGCAGC